GAGUCUCAGCAUCGUCUUCUUCUGUUACCUUCUUCAUCUUUCUCCUUUCAGAUAUGCUGAGAAGAGAAUAUGCAAAGAGCAGCUGCCUCCUCACUGCGUUGCGAUCCCAAGGCUGCUUUAGCCGCUCCGUCUUUCUGUUAAUUUUCUUAGUAUUUCCCCGGGAAGUUACGAAAUUGGAUAGCAGAAAACCAGUCUCCUUGUAGUUCCAGUCCAAAGCCUGUGGACACUGACCUUCUCCGUGGUGAUCUCCGGGGGGUACUCCACUGUGAUGGUCAUCGCCGCAGAAGCAGAUUCACCGAUGCCGUUGUCCGCCGUGCAGAGCACCACCACCACCACCGCCACCACCACCAUCACCACAAGACCACCACUUCUCGCAAUGGACUCCCUCUGCGCCGUAAAGAAUGGGGGCUAUCAGCAAGACGGAUCCCCUCGGUCACAAUACGUCCAUCCUUCCCUCCGCAGGUCACAGUGUCAGUCAUUUUAACGGGAACAACAAACAAUACGGGGAGACACAAGGCGGCCGCCACUCAGCCUCGCUCCCCUUGCACUUACAUUGCAUGCAAGUUGGAUUGUUGUUGGUGCGAUGCUCAUGACAACGCUUUGAUGCGAAUGCUGAAUGAUCCCGACCCUUGUGUGUGUCCGUGUGUGUGUGUGUGUGUGUGUGUGUAUUAUUUUCUUUUUUUUUUCUCUCAAAAUUUCUUGUGUGUUUAUCUUUUUUUUCUCUCAAAAUUUCUUGUGUGUUUAUCUUAUUUUCUUAUUUUUUUCCUCAUUUUCUUGUUUUUUCCUUAUUUUGUUUUCUUUUUUCUUAAUUUUUUAUCCUUAUAUUUUAUGUCUUUCUCUUUUCUUAUGUCUUUUCCUUGUUUUAUGUUUUUUUCACAUUUUUUCUUUUGUUUUUUUCCUUUAUAUUCUUACGUUUACCCCUUAUUUUCUUGUAUCCCUCAUUUUCUUAUGCCUCCCCUUAUUUUCUUGUUUUUCCUCAUUUUUCUAUCUUUCCCUUUAUUUUUUUUAUUUUCCAUACUUUCUGAUGUUUUUCCAUAUAUUUUUUUACAAGCUCUUGUUGGAUGGGAAUGAUAGGUGGUAAUAGAUAGGUAUGUUUUAUACAGGAAUUACCACAACCAAGCCACGUAACUUCUUGCAGUCUUCCUUAUAUUUUUAACAGUAUAUUCUUGGUAUGUUCUGAUAUUUGGUUUAUUGAUCUUCCAGUCUUACAGCUGAAAAUUCACGUUACAUACUUAUAUACUAACAUACAUGCUACAUCUUAAGUACACAUUUAACCUUAAGGAAGUAUCUCACAUUUCGAUACAGUGGCUGCCUUAGUAGACAAGGCCCGGGAUGGGAUGGUCAGGCCAACUCGUGUGUAUUUUUUUCCUUUCAGAGCUUGUUUCUCCUUCUGUGUGUGUGUGUGUGUGUGUGUAUGUGUGUGUGUGUGAAUCAUAUUACAGCAAACGCGAUGCUUUCGAAUAUCAAAUGAAUAGUAAUGUUGUAUCGAGGUUCUUUGGUCUUUUGUAGCGGACAAUGAAAUACUUCGUAACAAAUAAUAGGUCUUACUUGAAACUAAUAAUAAUAAAGUUGAAAAAUUAUCUCCUCCUUUGAUGUAUUUUUGUUCUGGGAAUGAAAGAAAAUAAAAAAGAAAAAGAGGGAUCCAUUGUUCAUUUUCGAGGAGAGAAUUAGAAUCACAUUGAAAUAUUCAGAAGUACAUUCUUUUCACAUUUCCAAGCUAUGGUUUUUGUAUAUAAUAAUAAAGACAGACAAAUAAAGCAUGCCGGGUGCUGUUCUGGUCUCGGCAAGAAAUAAAACAUUGACCUGAGAAUGAACACCAAAAAAUUAUGCGAGAAAAGCCAAGGAUUUCUUAAUUCAGUGACUGUGCACGCCCAGUUUUCCCUCUUAUUAUUUUGUAAUCGAGUUGAUCUUUUUUUACCCGAAGUGAAAGGAGCGGUGAGACCAAAGGGCCAAUUUACAGUCCUCUUUACUCACCCCCGUCUGCCAGUUAGGGCCAAAGACCAGCGUAGUAUAAAGGCCGCAGUCAUGGCGCACUUGGUAUAUUGAAUGCACAAAGUAAAAUAUAAAGUUGUGAGCGCCGCAUAUCCUCCUCCCACGCACGCCCACCUCUCCAUUACGUCUCUAAACGCUGCAGGGACGGUUCACUGAGGAGCUGUUGGGAAUCUGUUUAUCUGCGGCGCCACCAGCAUCAAGAUGAGGCGGGAUUUCUCUCCAUCACCCCUCACUCUCUACCUGCCUCCCUCACCAUCGUCCCAGACCUCGUCCCGACCCCCGCCUCAGCCGAAAAGAAAACAGGGAGAAUCUGCUCCUGGCGUUUAGUGACCUGAGGACUGGCGGUGUAAAAUUUGGAAUGAUACCUUCCUUACCUCUUGGCCGCCUCCUUAAUCUUUAGGGCCAUCUUGUAGCACGUGGAGGAACGUGAGAGGUGUGUGGAGUCUCCUCCAGAUCUUUCCUCACUGCCUUCUGCGGGACUGUUGAGGCUCCACUGUGUUGUGACUCGUGGGCGUUCAUAAAGUCAGAUAAGAGCUGCAGUGUGGGAUAAUUCUUAAAAUUAUAGUAAGGACUUAUAGCUUACGAAUUUCAGUAAGCUGUAUGCUAGUAAGAUAGCCACUGAAUAUUAGGAGAUAAGGUUCCAUUGAGGGAAGGAUGUGCAAGGGACCGACUGGCUUUAGGGGUGGUGUUGGUGCUUGGUCCAGCAAAGCGUUUACCGGAGGCGUGUGUUUAUUAUGCCAGUCAUCACUUAUGCAAGCCUGGCCCGGCCUCGUAAAUUCGCGGCAUUUGCAAGGAACCCUCAGAGCGGAAUUAUGUGGGGAAAUAUGAAAGCUUACGAUUAAUACCUGGGUGUGAGGCAGAGAGAAGGAAGGAGGGAGGCAGGCAGGCUUACACUCUUUGCAUCUUGACAGACCUGCUGUGUUUCAGAGGCAGGAAGAAAGGCUGAACGUAGAAAGCACGAAUAACCGCAGCCGUGCAAAUGAAACACUUGUGACGGUGUUUAAAAAUGUUCGGAUCUUGUGUAAAAAAUGUGGAAACUAAAUUCAAAUGUUCACUGAGUGGGGAAGAAAGUUCUUACAAGUUGGGAUUUAUUUUCAACUUUCUCUGGCAAACCAAUUUCGCAGUUCCUUCUGCUCAGCCACACAUAUUCCAGUGACUUCCUGCAAGUCUUUUCUGUUUCAUUGGCAAGAUCUGAAUAUGAUUCCUUUCCUCAUUGUUCUGCGAUGAUUUUUGUUUUAACGUGUAUUUUUUAUUGAGACAGUUGUGCGGCGCGCGAGGAGGGACAACUUUCAAAGGCAACUUUUAGCAGGAAACUAAUGGCCCGCCAGACGGAGUGGCUCGCUCCUCUUACUGUGCCAGUAGUCCAGAAUAACUUCUUUAUCUUUAUUCUAUUAAAGUAAAUAAGAUGUUCGGGCUUGUUGUGUGGAAAAUAUAAUUGUUUUUACUGACUCGUUACUUGGUCCCCAAGAGAGUUGAUCAAUAUCAUGAUUAGGAACUUCAAAUUCAAAGAGCAUCAAUUGCGUUUCUCGGAACUCAGGAACUCAAUUUUUCAGUCAGGCAGGCAUCAGGUGGAAGCUUCAAGGAUGGAGCCAAGGGUCUCGGCGCCCCGGAGAACCAGUGAGCGUGAAAUCAAACCGCUGGAGCGCUCGUAUCCGACUGAUAAACUAACCCGAGUGAGUCUCCGGAAAGCAAGGUUCAGCGCCACUCGGCGCAGGUUGUGAGUCGCUUCCGUGCUGCUCUUCCUCCGCCCCACCGGCCAGUCGCGGCAGACCGAAGGAGGCCGUGCAUGAUAUGAGGCCCCAAGGUUGCGUGAUUUUGUACCGAGAACGAGUUUUGCAUUCACCUUUGUUUUGAACUCACUUUUGACCAAGUAUGCUAGAGAGUCGUAUUGAUUCCUAAUUCCGGAAUAAUGGUCAAAAUGCGAGUAAUACAGGAAGCUUUUUUUGCAAUUAGAACCAAAGUCGAGAUUUUUUACAUCUGGUUGGCUCGUGCGUGUUUCCAGGAGAACACCGCUUCUCUGCAACCUGCAAGUCCAUCCCCACUUAAUGCACCGCAGCCCGCGGCACAAGAAGGGCGUUGCCUCGGUCACCUAGGGUAAGCGGAUUAGAGGAAGUCCUUGCCAGUCCUGCAUUUUUUUUUUCUGCACGUGUAGAGGAACAUGAUGUGAGACGCACUAAUUUAGUGUCGUGUCACCUGAGGCCCCAACUUGCCGCAAGAUCAAGUCCAGGGGAAGGCGUAAAGAUGCUAAUCAGAUUUUUGCUUGUGAGAUGUUGCCCAAUGUCAAUAAGCUUCCUAAAGCACGGGGAAGAACAGCAUUUAGACGAGAAAAGAGGCACGAUUUGAGAGAGAUAACCCAAGGCAAAGUAAAUGAUAAUGAUGAUGAUGACAAUAAUCCUCGUAUUAACAUCUGCACCCGCUGAACCCACACCACCACCCUCGCUCCCUAGACACCGUGACAGACAUUGUACUAAUAAUUUUUCAACAUUAUCCUUGGGCGAGGGAAACAAGGAGGGGAGCGCAGUAUACCAGGGCUCAGUUAGAGGGGAAGGAAGAGCGAGGCGGGGAAAUGCACUGGAACUUGGGCGUGAGGGGAGAAAGAGAGAGAGGGGAAGGAAGAGGGCGUAACAAGUCUAGAAUCUUAGGAGAGGGAGAGGAAGAAGGGGACACGGAGAAAGACUUGGAUAGGAAGGCAUGGAGAGAAAGAAGAGUACAUUUGAAGGGAAUGCGACGCCGAGGGGAAUAGAAUAGGUUAGGGUAUUGAGUUGGAGGGGAGGGAGAAAAGAGGCGUAACGGGGGUCGAAGUUAUAAACAUUGUGACGUAUUGUGGAUUAUCCGAAUGGGAGACGACUAAUGGCAGGCUGGGAGAGGGAGAGUGGCGGGGCGACGAGGCGGGGAGCGUGUGGAAGGAAGCGUGUAUGCAUAGCAGUGAGCGUAAUGAGGAGGGAGGGACGGAAGGCCUGGUGACGAUAAGGGUUUGCUUUUCUGCUUCACCGCCGUGCUUCUCUCUCUCUCUCUCUCUCUCUCUCUCUCUCUCUCUCUCUCUCUCUCUCUCUCUCUCUCUCUCUCUCUCUCUCUCGUUGCCAAUACACUUGAGAACUUCCCAUAUUUAAGGUUCAGUUCCAUUGAUUUGUCUGUUGGUGCGAGUGAUAGCAGCACACACAGACACACACACGCACGCAUAUGCACACGCACACACAAAC